rnacentral:rRNA from 1 species
CCUACGAGUGACAGCAGUGAGGAAUAUUGGUCAAUGGCCGGACGGCUGAACCAGCCAAGUCGCGUGAGGGACGACUGCCCUAUGGGUUGUAAACUUCUUUUAUAUGGGAAUAAUAUAUUCUACGUGUAGCAUGUUGCCUGUACCUUAUGAAUAAGCAUCGGCUAACUCCGUGCCAGCAGCCGCGGUAAUACGGAGGAUGCGAGCGUUAUCCGGAUUUAUUGGGUUUAAGGGGUGCGUAGGCGGUUUAUUAAGUUAGUGGUUAAAGGUCGGGGCUACACCAGGAUUUGCCAUUAAUACUGUAGGACUAGAGUGUAGAAGAGGUAGGCGGAAUGAGUGGUGGAGCGGUGAAAUGCUGAGAGAUAACACAGAACACCGAUAGCGAAGGCAGCUUACCAGAC